rnacentral:rRNA from 1 species
UUGACCUCGGAUCAGGUAGGGAUACCCGCUGAACUUAAGCAUAUCAAUAAGCGGAGGAAAAGAAACCAACAGGGAUUGCCCUAGUAACGGCGAGUGAAGCGGCAACAGCUCAAAUUUGAAAUCUGGCUCUUUUAGAGUCCGAGUUGUAAUUUGCAGAGGGCG